CUGUGUGUUGUUGGGUAGGGGAGCGUUCUGUAAGCCUGUGAAGGUGGCCUGUGAGGGUUGCUGGAGGUAUCAGAAGUGCGAAUGCUGACAUAAGUAACGAUAAAGCGGGUGAAAAGCCCGCUCGCCGGAAGACCAAGGGUUCCUGUCCAACGUUAAUCGGGGCAGGGUGAGUCGACCCCUAAGGCGAGGCCGAAAGGCGUAGUCGAUGGGAAACGGGUUAAUAUUCCCGUACUUGGUGUUACUGCGAAGGGGGGACGGAGAAGGCUAUGUUGGCCGGGCGACGGUUGUCCCGGUUUAAGCGUGUAGGUGUGUGUUCCAGGUAAAUCCGGUU
rnacentral:rRNA from 1 species